rnacentral:rRNA from 1 species
UGCUGGGCUAUCGUAGUCCGGCAAUUGGAAUGAGAACAAUUUAAAUCCCUUAACGAGGAACAAUUGGAGGGCAAGUCUGGUGCCAGCAGCCGCGGUAAUUCCAGCUCCAAUAGCGUAUAUUAAAGUUGUUGCAGUUAAAAAGCUCGUAGUUGGAUUUCGGGGCGGCCCGACUGGUCCGCCGCGAGGUGAGCACUGGUCGGCCGCUCUUCCUCUCGGAAGCCCCGACUGCUCUUCGUUGCAGUGGUCGGGGAGUUCGGGACGUUUACUUUGAAAAAAUUAGAGUGUUCAAGGCAGGCCGUCGCCUGAAUACAUUAGCAUGGAAUAAUGGAAGAGGACCUCGGUCCCGUUUUGUUGGUUUCUUGGACCGAAGUAAUGAUUAAGAGGGACAGUUGGGGGCAUUCGUAUUUAAUUGUCAGAGGUGAAAUUCUCGGAUUUAUGAAAGACGAACGACUGCGAAAGCAUUGCCAA